CACACGAUAACACGAAGUCACGAACCCUAGGCGGUGCAGGCUCCUGUGCGGCGUAGCCACGCAGGCCGCAGCGGCGCCUCCCCCUCGGCCACGACCUGCCUGACUGCCCCCAACCCCCUCGGCCCUCGAGGAGUCGCGGCCUCGCUGCUGCUAGGACUACGGCCGCCGAGGCGCGGACUGCAGAUCUCGCGGUCAGCGGCUCAGCGUCCUGCUGCUGCCCCUUCUCGCGGAGCAUCAGAAGUUGGGGUUGUUCAUGCAGGUGCUGCUGAACCAAGGGCUCAGAUGGUGGGAUGGCCGCCUGUCCGCAGCUAUCGCAAGAAUACCAUGGCGACCAGCCAGGGAAAGAGAAGCAAGGAGGAAGCUGAUGCCAAACAGAGGCAGGGGUUUAUUCAGAAGCAUGAUUGUACAACACAAGCAUGUGUCAUGUGUGUUACUGUGUUAGUCAUCAUUUUAUUCAGAAGCAUGAUGCAUGUUUCAGAGAGCUAGUUAUGGUGCUAGUUAUUUGGAUUACUGUGUUAAGCAUUA